rnacentral:rRNA from 1 species
UGGGGAAUAUUGCACAAUGGGCGAAAGCCUGAUGCAGCGACGCCGCGUGAGUGAAGAAGUAUUUCGGUAUGUAAAGCUCUAUCAGCAGGGAAGAAAAUGACGGUACCUGACUAAGAAGCCCCGGCUAACUACGUGCCAGCAGCCGCGGUAAUACGUAGGGGGCAAGCGUUAUCCGGAUUUACUGGGUGUAAAGGGAGCGUAGACGGCGAAGCAAGUCUGAAGUGAAAACCCCCGGCUCAACCGGGGAGGGUCAUUGGAAACUGGGAGACUUGAGUGCAGAAGAGGAGAGUGGAAUUCCAUGUGUAGCGGUGAAAUGCGUAGAUAUAUGGAGGAACACCAGUGGCGAAGGCGGCUCUCUGGUCUGUAACUGACGCUGAGGCUCGAAAGCGUGGGGAGCAAACAGGAUUAGAUACCCUGGUA